GGUCAAGCGAAUAAGCGCACACGGUGGAUGCCUUGGCGGUCAGAGGCGAUGAAGGACGUGGCAGCCUGCGAAAAGUAUCGGGGAGCUGGCAACAAGCUUUGAUCCGGUAAUGUCCGAAUGGGGAAACCCACCCGCUUGCGGGUAUCCUGCAGUGAAUACAUAGCUGCUGGAAGCGAACCUGGUGAACUGAAAUAUCUAAGUAACCAGAGGAAAAGAAAUCAACCGAGAUUCCGUAAGUAGCGACGAGCGAACGCGGACUAGCCCUUAAGCUGGAUUGGUUCUAGGAAAACGCUCUGGAAAGAGCGGCCAUAGAAGGUGAUAGCCCUGUAUCUGAAAGGGCCAUUCCAGUGAAGACGAGUAGGGCGGGGCACGUGAAACCCUGUCUGAACAUGGGGGGACCAUCCUCCAAGGCUAAAUACUACUGACCGACCGAUAGUGAACCAGUACCGUGAGGGAAAGGCGAAAAGAACCCCGGAGAGGGGAGUGAAAUAGAACCUGAAACCGUGUGCGUACAAGCAGUAGGAGCUCCGCAAGGAGUGACUGCGUACCUUUUGUAUAAUGGGUCAGCGACUUACUGUUCGUGGCAAGCUUAACCGUAUAGGGGAGGCGAAGGGAAACCGAGUCUGAUAAGGGCGCAUAGUCGCGGGCAGUAGACCCGAAACCGGGUGAUCUAGUCAUGCCCAGGGUGAAGGUGCGGUAACACGCACUGGAGGCCCGAACCCACUCCCGUUGCAAAGGUAGGGGAUGAGGUGUGAUUAGGAGUGAAAAGCUAAUCGAACCCGGAGAUAGCUGGUUCUCCUCGAAAGCUAUUUAGGUAGCGCCUCAUAUGUAUCCUCUCGGGGGUAGAGCACUGUUAUGGCUAGGGGGUCAUCGCGACUUACCAAACCAUUGCAAACUCCGAAUACCGAGACGGACUGUAUGGGAGACACACGGCGGGUGCUAACGUCCGUCGUGAAAAGGGAAACAACCCAGACCCACAGCUAAGGUCCCAAAUUUUGUGCUAAGUGGAAAACCAUGUGGAAAGGCACAGACAGCCAGGAGGUUGGCUUAGAAGCAGCCACCCUUUAAAGAAAGCGUAAUAGCUCACUGGUCGAGUCGGUCUGCGGGGAAGAUUUAACGGGGCUAAGCACAGAACCGAAGCUUGGGGUGCAUAACUUUGUUAUGCGCGGUAGAGGAGCGUUCCGUAAGCCGUUGAAGGUGGAUUGAGAAGUCUGCUGGAGGUAUCGGAAGUGCGAAUGCUGACAUGAGUAACGAUAAUGCGGGUGAAAAACCCGCACGCCGAAAGCCCAAGGUUUCCUUGCGCAACGUUAAUCGGCGCAGGGUGAGUCGGCCCCUAAGGCGAGGACGAAAGUCGUAGUCGAUGGGAAGCAGGUUAAUAUUCCUGCACCUCGCGUAAGUGCGAUGGAGGGACGGAGAAGGUUAGGUGUACCAGGCGUUGGUUGUCCUGGGGAAAGGCGGUAGGUUUGGAUCUUUGGCAAAUCCGGGAUCCUUUAAGACCGAGCACCGAGACGAGCCUUUAUGGCGAAGUCACUGAUACCACGCUUCCAGGAAAAGCUCCUAAGCUUCAGCUUACGCAGACCGUACCGUAAACCGACACAGGUGGGUAGGAUGAGAAUUCUCAGGCGCUUGAGAGAACUCGGGUGAAGGAACUAGGCAACAUGGCACCGUAACUUCGGGAGAAGGUGCACCCUUUUUGGUGGCUCGUGCGAGCUAUAGCUGAAGAGGGUCGCAGUAACCAGGCCGCUGCGACUGUUUAUCAAAAACACAGCACUCUGCAAACACGAAAGUGGACGUAUAGGGUGUGACGCCUGCCCGGUGCUGGAAGGUUAAUUGAUGGGGUCAGCCGCAAGGCGAAGCUCUUGAUCGAAGCCCCAGUAAACGGCGGCCGUAACUAUAACGGUCCUAAGGUAGCGAAAUUCCUUGUCGGGUAAGUUCCGACCUGCACGAAUGGCGUAACGACAGCGGCGCUGUCUCCACCCGAGACUCAGUGAAAUUGAAAUCGCUGUGAAGAUGCAGCGUUCCCGUGGCAAGACGGAAAGACCCCGUGAACCUUUACUAUAGCUUUACACUGAACGUUGAGUUCGUCUGUGUAGGAUAGGUGGGAGGCUAUGAAACUGUGGCGCUAGCUGCAGUGGAGCCAUCCUUGAAAUACCACCCUGUCGUGCUUGACGUUCUAACCUGGGCCCAUUAUCUGGGUCGGGGACCGUGUAUGGUGGGUAGUUUGACUGGGGCGGUCUCCUCCUAAAGAGUAACGGAGGAGCUCGAAGGUACGCUCAGCGCGGUCGGACAUCGCGCACUGUGUGCAAAGGCAUAAGCGUGCUUGACUGCAAGAUCGACGGAUCAAGCAGGUAGGAAACUAGGACUUAGUGAUCCGGUGGUUCUGUAUGGAAGGGCCAUCGCUCAACGGAUAAAAGGUACUCCGGGGAUAACAGGCUGAUACCGCCCAAGAGUUCAUAUCGACGGCGGUGUUUGGCACCUCGAUGUCGGCUCAUCACAUCCUGGGGCUGUAGUCGGUCCCAAGGGUAUGGCUGUUCGCCAUUUAAAGUGGUACGCGAGCUGGGUUCAGAACGUCGUGAGACAGUUCGGUCCCUAUCUGCCAUGGGCGUUGGAGAUUUGAGAGGGGCUGCUCCUAGUACGAGAGGACCGGAGUGGACGAACCUCUGGUGUUCCGGUUGUCACGCCAGUGGCAUUGCCGGGUAGCUAUGUUCGGAAGCGAUAACCGCUGAAAGCAUCUAAGCGGGAAGCGCGCCUCAAGAUGAGAUCUCCCGGGGCACAAGCCCCCUGAAGGAACCAUGUAGACUACGUGGUUGAUAGGUCAGGUGUGUAAGUACAGCAAUGUAUUGAGCUAACUGAUACUAAUGAUCCGUGCGGCUUGACCAU
rnacentral:rRNA from 1 species